CGUGAUUUGACUGUAGGAUGAGAUUCCGUGUGUGGUGCGAAAAGAAGGUACAGUUCCCUCUCUCCUGGCAGAGGGUGUGAAACAAAUGCACGCGGGGGAUGCAUGAGGUGUUAUCCUCUGCAGUGUUAUCUUCAGCAGCUCCUCCUAGACAUCAGUGUGUUCCAGUUCAUCCAAUACUGUCCCUCUUCCUCCCCCAUCUGCUCCUCAGGAGGUGAGAAUGGGUUUGAGAAGUCCUCCUGGGGACUGGAUAAGCUACCUCCCUCUCUCUCUGAUCUUUUGCGCUCUCUCGCUCUCCCUCUGUCUCUCACUUUGUGGCAGAUGGCUGUUUAUCAGUCAGAGCACCAGAUCAAGACUCAAACAAAUGCUCAUAACAAUCAUGAGUCCCCUACGUCUCCUUCUCUAUUCAUUUCCAUUUGGCUAGGAAGCUGUAGAUUCGAUUUUUUUAGUUCUCCCCAUGAACACAUCAGUGUGAUUUCCUGGCCUAGUGGGAGGUGUGUCUUUGCUCUGAUCUGUAACAUCAGUAGUUCUGAUUGUGAGAUGUGAAGAUACACAUUUGUGUGAACAAUUCAAAUCACAUUAAACAUAAUGCCAAUAAUCUAUGAAAUUUUGGAAAUAGAAACACUACCAGACUACAGUAUGAAAACUAAGAGAAACCAAGGUCUUUUCAUGACUUGUUUAACAGUGUAACUCAGGUGUGAUGCAGUGCCCACAGGGGUGUUUGGGUGCUUGUGGAAAAUUUGAGGAAAUGUUUAUUUUUUUUUUUUACAAAAUUCUGAACUUAAGAUAUGAAUAUGUUUAACAGUAAUUAAAGGUCAUAAUUUACUAACUGACAUGUUAUUUUAGACCUGUAUGAGUUCCUUUCUUCUGUAGAGCAUAAAAUAAGAUAUUUUGAAGAAUGUUUGUGGGGAAAAAAAAUAUGAUGGAAGUCAAUGGAGACCAGAAACUGUUUCUUCAAAAUAUCUUCAGCACAACAAAGAAACUCAUCCAGGUUUGGAACAAC
ensembl:lncRNA